CUUUCUUUGCUGGCGACCGGCGCACGGGUGAGUAACACGUAUCCAACCUGCCCUUUACUCGGGGAUAGCCUUUCGAAAGAAAGAUUAAUACCCGAUAGCAUAAUGAUUCCGCAUGGUUUCAUUAUUAAAGGAUUCCGGUAAAGGAUGGGGAUGCGUUCCAUUAGGUUGUUGGUGAGGUAACGGCCCACCAAGCCUUCGAUGGAUAGGGGUUCUGAGAGGAAGGUCCCCCACAUUGGUACUGAGACACGGACCAA
rnacentral:rRNA from 1 species